rnacentral:rRNA from 1 species
GGAAUAUUGCGCAAUGGAGGCAACUCUGACGCAGCCAUGCCGCGUGGGUGAAGAAGGCCUUCGGGUUGUAAAGCCCUUUCGACGGGGAAGAUGAUGACGGUACCCGUAUAAGAAGCCCCGGCUCACUUCGUGCCAGCAGCCGCGGUAAUACGAAGGGGGCUAGCGUUGUUCGGAAUUACUGGGCGUAAAGGGCGCGUAGGCGGAUCGGCCAGUCAGGGGUGAAAUCCCGGGGCUCAACCCCGGAACUGCCUUUGAUACUGGUAGUCUUGAGUUCGAGAGAGGUGAGUGGAAUUCCGAGUGUAGAGGUGAAAUUCGUAGAUAUUCGGAGGAACACCAGUGGCGAAGGCGGCUCACUGGCUCGAUACUGACGCUGAGGUGCGAAAGCGUGGGGAGCA